rnacentral:rRNA from 1 species
UACGUAGGGCGCAAGCGUUGUCCGGAAUUAUUGGGCGUAAAGAGCUCGUAGGCGGCUUGUCACGUCGGGUGUGAAAGCCCGGGGCUUAACCCCGGGUCUGCAUUCGAUACUGCCGUGCUUGAGGACUGGAGAGGAGACUGGAAUUUACGGUGUAGCGGUGAAAUGCGUAGAUAUCGGAAGGAACACCAGUGGCGAAAGCGGCUUCCUGGUCCAGCACCGACGUUCAGGCACGAAAGCGUGGGGAGCAAACAGG